GAGAGGCAGGCGGGCCCUAGCUGCAGCGUCAAGGUCUGGGGAUUCUGUGGCUCUGUAGGGUGAAGGGCACUGGAGACCUACCAGGGGCUGGGCCAUUGGAGUGGUGGGUGCUGGGGAGCUUCCGUGGGCCCCUCCAGGUCCACUCCUUGCUCUUCUCUGCCUUGUUUUGUGCCCAGAAGGCUGACCUGUGUGGAUGCAUUAUCAGGGUGGAUGCAACACAGGGCUGCCAUGCUCUCUGGUAUCAGUUUGGAAGGCACUGGCAGGAUGGGAAGGCAGGCGGGGAGUGAGGUCAGGGGGCCUAUCCUUCCACUGCCUCCCUGCUGCUCCCUGACUGAUUCAGAGCCAGUCUUGGUGCUCUGUGUUCACCUGGUUCAUCUGAGGAGCUGCAUCUACCCUGCCCAUGCCAUAGAUCCUGCCCUGUUUGCUUCUCCUGUUGCUGCUAGUGGACAUGAGGUAACCACAGCCUAGUUCUGUGAUAAGCUCUUCACACCUGUACCCAUAUGGACUGUGGGAGAGUUUCUCUGAUAUGGACUGUGAUGCGGAAGGACAGAAUAACGGGCUCCCAGAUUCACAAGCCCCACCAAGAGGAUCACCCCAGGAACGCUUGGAGGCUGAGGAGUUCACUGAGGCUACUGCAUCUUGAGACUCAGGAUGAAGACCCAGCUUGGGGCUGUCAAAGGUUUUUUGCAUGUCUGACACCCAUGACUCCACCUGGACCUUAUGGCUCCACCCAGAAGCAAUUCAGCCCAACAGGAGGACAGCUUCAACCCAUUACGAUUUCAUCUCUGCCCCAACCACUCAGCAGCAAGCACCUGUUACCUGUCCACCCCCACCCCUUCCCCCAAACUGCCUUUGAAAAAUCCCUAACCUAUGAGCUUUGAAUAAGAUGAGUACGAACUUCAUCGCCCACGUGGCGUGGCCGGCCUCGUGUCUAUUAAAUUCUUUUUCUACUACAA
rnacentral:lncRNA from 1 species